rnacentral:rRNA from 1 species
CAGCUUGUUGGUGAGGUAAUGGCUCACCAAGGCGACGACGGGUAGCCGGCCUGAGAGGGUGACCGGCCACACUGGGACUGAGACACGGCCCAGACUCCUACGGGAGGCAGCAGUGGGGAAUAUUGCACAAUGGGCGAAAGCCUGAUGCAGCAACGCCGCGUGAGGGAUGACGGCCUUCGGGUUGUAAACCUCUUUUAGUAGGGAAGAAGCGAGAGUGACGGUACCUGCAGAAAAAGCACCGGCUAACUACGUGCCAGCAGCCGCGGUAAUACGUAGGGUGCAAGCGUUGUCCGGAAUUAUUGGGCGUAAAGAGCUCGUAGGCGGUUUGUCGCGUCUGCUGUGAAAUCCCGAGGCUCAACCUCGGGUCUGCAGUGGGUACGGGCAGACUAGAGUGUGGUAGGGGAGAUUGGAAUUCCUGGUGUAGCGGUGGAAUGCGCAGAUAUCAGGAGGAACACCGAUGGCGAAGGCAGAUCUCUGGGCCAUUACUGACGCUGAGGAGCGAAAGCAUGGGGAGCGAACAGGAUUAGAUACCCUGGUAGUCCAUGCCGU